rnacentral:rRNA from 1 species
GCUUGGCGGCGUGCCUAUACAUGCAAGUCGAGCGAAUGGAUUAAGAGCUUGCUCUUAUGAAGUUAGCGGCGGACGGGUGAGUAACACGUGGGUAACCUGCCCAUAAGACUGGGAUAACUCCGGGAAACCGGGGCUAAUACCGGAUAACAUUUUGAACUGCAUGGUUCGAAAUUGAAAGGCGGCUUCGGCUGUCACUUAUGGAUGGACCCGCGUCGCAUUAGCUAGUUGGUGAGGUAACGGCUCACCAAGGCAACGAUGCGUAGCCGACCUGAGAGGGUGAUCGGCCACACUGGGACUGAGACACGGCCCAGACUCCUACGGGAGGCAGCAGUAGGGAAUCUUCCGCAAUGGACGAAAGUCUGACGGAGCAACGCCGCGUGAGUGAUGAAGGCUUUCGGGUCGUAAAACUCUGUUGUUAGGGAAGAACAAGUGCUAGUUGAAUAAGCUGGCACCUUGACGGUACCUAACCAGAAAGCCACGGCUAACUACGUGCCAGCAGCCGCGGUAAUACGUACGUGGCAAGCGUUAUCCGGAAUUAUUGGGCGUAAAGCGCGCGCAGGUGGUUUCUUAAGUCUGAUGUGCAAGCCCACGGCUCAACCGUGGAGGGCCAUCCGAAAGUGGGAGACUUGAGUGCAGAAGAAGAAAGUGGACUUCCAUGUGUACCGGGGGAUAUGCUGUAUCAGAUAUAGACAUAACACCCCACGAUGAAGGCGAUUUUCUAGGUCUGUAACUGACACUGAGGACCGAAAGGAUGAUAAUCCACUCUGGAUCACUUCUCUGUGAUGACUCCGAACGCCAUACCCAAUGGUAGAUUCGGUUCUCAAUCGUGCAACAGUAUAGCGACACGAUGUCACUGAGGAUUUUCUACACAAUGGAAUCCACUCGUUGGGACGACGAAUCAAUAGUUCCAGGUCCACUCUCGCGA